rnacentral:rRNA from 1 species
UGCCAGCCGCCGCGGUAACACGGGGGGCGCAAGCGUUAUUCGGAAUUACUGGGCGUAAAGCGCGCGUAGGCGGUUCGUUAAGUCUGAUGUGAAAGCCCGGGGCUCAACCCCGGAAGUGCAUUGGAAACUGGCGAACUUGAGUACGGGAGAGGAAAGUGGAAUUCCGAGUGUAGGGGUGAAAUCCGUAGAUAUUCGGAGGAACACCAGUGGCGAAGGCGGCUUCCUGGACCGAUACUGACGCUGAGACGCGAAAGCGUGGGGAGGAAACAGGAUUAGAUU